AAGCUGAGGGACAUCAAGAAGGUGUCUUCAAAUUUGAGAAAGAGAGAGAUUGAUGCUGCUCUUAAAAUUUUUCAUGCUAUUCUUUAUGGGGUGAAGGUGAAGGACAAAGAUCUAAAGAGAAAUAUACUAGAUUUCUCUGGGUUUUUAUGGGGUCCUCAAGAGGAGUUCUGCAGAUGCUAGAAGAACUUGGUGGCAAUGAUUUACCUGCUGUCAAUGACAUGGAUGAGAAUG